CUUUAUUUCCCUUAGCAGCAAAGAAAAAAAUACAAAGAAAUGCAUGUAAGGCGCAGAACUGCAUUGAAACAACAAUAACCAUUCAUAAACUAGUAUACUAGGAAUGCGGAGGACAAAAAAUCCUGUCAACAACGCCAGACAAGUGCAGAGAUAAGAUUUGUCUGUUGACCAUCCAUCACCUGUGGAAAUGGUCUUGCAUUGCCCACCCCAACCAUGUAAGCUCAUGUUGGCUUCUAUAACAAGGUUUGGUUCUGAAGAUGGCUCAUCGAUUCCAUACAUCCAUAUGAUAGAGCGACCACAUGAAUUCUUCCCUGGAGUCUGCACUGAACAGGAUAUAGGUUUCGUAGGAGUGAUCCUAACACAAAUAAGAAGCCGUGGUUGAAGUGCUCAAUAGUGAAGAGGAACUAGGAAAAUCGAUUGAAUAGUCAAUGCAAGGAGACGGAUCAUGCAGAAGAGUCGUCUGAUAGAAAGCGCAUUGUAUCUGAGAAAGCGUCUGAUUUAUUUCCUGAUCAAUAAUACCUUGUCCUUUGGUAAAUGUAAAGUUUUAUGUACAUCAUUCACCAGAAAUUCUAGAAAUUCUAUAGUCGUGGGUGAAGAAUUUAUCAGAAAACCCAGUUUCUAAAGAAGAUGAACUGUCCACGAUAAAUACAGAGUUGAGAUUGUAAUCGAAAGAGCAUUAAUAUAUUGUCUACGCAGGUCAUUAACCAGACAACUCGGCUCUGUAGGAACAAUAUUACUGGAUUGAUGACCAUGUUGAAGCACCAAUGUGUUGAUGACAUGUCGAAUGUAAGAUGUGAAUCUCCACUUUUUUCCUGCCAAUGGAAUUGGAGGAAGUCCCGAUGGUCUACUGAGAUUGAAACCAUCAGAUAAGCAUGCUUUAGAUAAAAAGAUCUCCGACGCAGUGAAUGUCCUAAUUUUAAAGUUUUGAUACCGGACAAAUGCAUUCAGUGGCUUUAAAAUUAUAACAGGACAAAGUCUACUGCACUUUUUUGGAACCAGAAAGUUUCCCCAUUAUAGUUACUGAAUGGCAUUUUUUUUUUUAGAACAAUUGGACAAAUUCAUGUGCAAUCAAGUCUUGAUUGUUUUGAGCCAGAGGGACUCACUGUGGGAUUGCAUAGUUAACUAAUCAAAUCCAAAACUGCAAUUCAUAGGAGUGGAAUAACUAAAUAAUUAUCUUGGUAUGAGAAAAAACAAGAGGGUAGGUAAUUAAAUAUGUCUACUCAAUAUCAACUCCUAAUCAGGAAAAAAAACUAUGUAAAUA